AAAUAAGAAGCAAUAAUGCGUAUAGUUUCGACCUAUAAAUUUGAUAUAUUUUAUCCUUAUUUA
rnacentral:tRNA from 1 species